rnacentral:sRNA from 2 species
CGCCCGUCACACCAUGGGAGCUGGUAAUGCCCGAAGUCGGUUUUGUUAACUACGGAGACAACUGCCUAAGGCAGGGCCGGUGACUGGGGUGAAGUCGUAACAAGGUAUCCCUACGAGAACGUGGGGAUGGAUUACCUCCUUUCUACGGAGUACAAAAGUUACAGUUCAUUUUAGUAACAUUUACCAACUUAAAAGACUAUUAUAAUUUGUCAUGGAAUUUGUUUUAUAGUCGCAAAUAUAUCUAGUUUUGAGAGAACUUUUCUCUCGUAUUUGUUCUUUGAAAACUGAAUAGUAAAGAUAUUAAAUAUAACAACGACAUCAAUAAAUAAAUUAGUCAAUUUGUUUUGUGAUACCGAGUUAAUUAUUAGUAAUAAUAAUUUAUUAAAAUGUCUUUGAAUACAUCAACAAUAGGUUAUAUAUUGAACUUUUAAAUAAGUAAGAGUGAGUUGUGGAUGCCUUGGGUCUGGAAGUCGAUGAAGGACGUGAUUACCUGCGAUAAGCCUCGUGGAGCUGGAUAUAAGCUACGAAGCGGGGAUUUCCGAAUGGGGAAACCUAGUUAGAGUAAUUUCUAACUGCAUUGGAAUGAAUCUAUAGUUCCAAACAGCGAGACACGUUGUGAACUGAAACAUCUUAGUAGCAACAGGAAGAGAAAAUAAAUAAUGAUUCCAUUAGUAGCGGCGAGCGAAAUUGGAAAAGCCCAAACCAACUUUUAGUUGGGGUUGUAGGACUAUCUACAUAAAGUUAUAAAUCUUUAUCAUAGCAGAAAAAGUUGGGAAGCUUUGGCGCAGAGGGUGAUACUCCCGUAUGCAAAAUGAUAGAGACUUUUGAUAGUAUCCUGAGUAGGGCGGGGCACGUGAAACCCUGUCUGAAUCUGCCGGGACCAUCCGGCAAGGCUAAAUACUAACCAGACACCGAUAGCGAACUA